rnacentral:misc_RNA from 1 species
UCCUGGUUAACCCAGGCAGUCUCGUUAGAGUUCCCACCAUUACGUGCUGGCAACUAACGAUAAGGGUUGCGCUCGUUGCGGGACUUAACCCAACACCUCACGGCACGAGCUGACGACAGCCAUGCAGCACCUGUGCAGAAGUCCCGAAGGACUAUAACAUUUCUGCUAUAUUCUUCUGCAUGUCAAGUCUGGGUAAGGUUCUUCGCGUUGCAUCGAAUUAAACCACAUGCUCCACUGCUUGUGCGGGUCCCCGUCAAUUCUUUUGAGUUUCACCCUUGCGGGCGUACUCCCCAGGCGGCAUACUUAACGCGUUCGCUACGGCACAACCGGGGUUGAGUCCGGUUACACCAAGUAUGCAUCGUUUACGGCUAGGACUAC